UACGUUCCCGGGCCUUGUACACACCGGCCCGUCACACCACGAAAGUCGGCAACACCCGAAGCCGGUGGCCUAACCCGCAAGGGAGGGAACCGUCGAAGGUGGGGUUGAUGAUUGGGGUG
rnacentral:rRNA from 1 species